rnacentral:rRNA from 1 species
AUUGAACGCUGGCGGCAUGCUUUACACAUGCAAGUCGAACGGCAGCGCGGGCUUCGGCCUGGCGGCGAGUGGCGAACGGGUGAGUAAUACAUCGGAACGUGCCCAGUAGUGGGGGAUAGCUCGGCGAAAGCCGGAUUAAUACCGCAUACGACCUGAGGGUGAAAGCGGGGGAUCUUCGGACCUCGCGCUCUUGGAGCGGCCGAUGGCAGAUUAGCUAGUUGGUGGGGUAAAGGCCUACCAAGGCGACGAUCUGUAGCUGGUCUGAGAGGACGACCAGCCACACUGGGACUGAGACACGGCCCAGACUCCUACGGGAGGCAGCAGUGGGGAAUUUUGGACAAUGGGCGAAAGCCUGAUCCAGCAAUGCCGCGUGUGCGAUGAAGGCCUUCGGGUUGUAAAGCACUUUUGGCGGGAACGAAAAGGACUGUGCCAAUACCACGGUUCGAUGACGGUACCCGCAGAAUAAGCACCGGCUAACUACGUG